rnacentral:rRNA from 1 species
CCUACGGGUGGCAGCAGUGAGGAAUAUUGGUCAAUGGACGAGAGUCUGAACCAGCCAAGUAGCGUGAAGGAUGACUGCCCUAUGGGUUGUAAACUUCUUUUAUAAAGGAAUAAAACGAGGCACGUGUGCCUUUUUGUAUGUACUUUAUGAAUAAGGAUCGGCUAACUCCGUGCCAGCAGCCGCGGUAAUACGGAGGAUCCGAGCGUUAUCCGGAUUUAUUGGGUUUAAAGGGAGCGUAGAUGGGUUUUUAAGUCAGUUGUGAAAGUUUGCGGCUCAACCGUAAAAUUGCAAUUGAUACUGGCAGUCUUGAGUACAGUUGAGGUAGGCGGAAUUCGUGGUGUAGCGGUGAAAUGCUUAGAUAUCACGAAGAACCCCGAUUGCGAAGGCAGCUUACUAAACUGUGACUGACAUUGAUGCUCGAAAGUGUGGGUAUCAAACAGGAUUAGAUACCCCAGUAGUC